rnacentral:rRNA from 1 species
GCACGCUGAUAUGUAGGUGAAGUCCCUCGCGGAUGGAGCUGAAAUCAGUCGAAGAUACCAGCUGGCUGCAACUGUUUAUUAAAAACACAGCACUGUGCAAACACGAAAGUGGACGUAUACGGUGUGACGCCUGCCCGGUGCCGGAAGGUUAAUUGAUGGGGUCAGCGCAAGCGAAGCUCUUGAUCGAAGCCCCGGUAAACGGCGGCCGUAACUAUAACGGUCCUAAGGUAGCGAAAUUCCUUGUCGGGUAAGUUCCGACCUGCACGAAUGGCGUAAUGAUGGCCAGGCUGUCUCCACCCGAGACUCAGUGAAAUUGAACUCGCUGUGAAGAUGCAGUGUACCCGCGGCAAGACGGAAAGACCCCGUGAACCUUUACUAUAGCUUGACACUGAACAUUGAGCCUUGAUGUGUAGGAUAGGUGGGAGGCUUUGAAGUGUGGACGCCAGUCUGCAUGGAGCCGACCUUGAAAUACCACCCUUUAAUGUUUGAUGUUCUAACGUUGACCCGUAAUCCGGGUUGCGGACAGUGUCUGGUGGGUAGUUUGACUGGGGCGGUCUCCUCCUAAAGAGUAACGGAGGAGCACGAAGGUUGGCUAAUCCUGGUCGGACAUCAGGAGGUUAGUGCAAUGGCAUAAGCCAGCUUGACUGCGAGCGUGACGGCGCGAGCAGGUGCGAAAGCAGGUCAUAGUGAUCCGGUGGUUCUGAAUGGAAGGGCCAUCGCUCAACGGAUAAAAGGUACUCCGGGGAUAACAGGCUGAUACCGCCCAAGAGUUCAUAUCGACGGCGGUGUUUGGCACCUCGAUGUCGGCUCAUCACAUCCUGGGGCUGAAGUAGGUCCCAAGGGUAUGGCUGUUCGCCAUUUAAAGUGGUACGCGAGCUGGGUUUAGAACGUCGUGAGACAGUUCGGUCCCUAUCUGCCGUGGGCGCUGGAGAACUGAGGGGGGCUGCUCCUAGUACGAGAGGACCGGAGUGGACGCAUCACUGGUGUUCGGGUUGUCAUGCCAAUGGCACUGCCCGGUAGCUAAAUGCGGAAGAGAUAAGUGCUGAAAGCAUCUAAGCACGAAACUUGCCCCGAGAUGAGUUCUCCCUGACUCCUUGAGAGUCCUGAAGGAACGUUGAAGACGACGACGUUGAUAGGCCGGGUGUGUAAGCGCAGCGAUGCGUUGAGCUAACCGGUACUAAUGAACCGUGAGGCUUAACCUUACAACGCCGAAGGUGUUU